GGGAAGGUGGCUCAGUGGUAGAGCUCUUGCCUUGCAAGCAAGAAGCCCUGCCUU
rnacentral:tRNA from 1 species